UUUCGCGCUGGAGAUGGCAUUCCUCCUCAUAACCGCUGGUCAGCCAGCUGAUGAUGCCUACGCGUUC
rnacentral:ncRNA from 2 species